rnacentral:rRNA from 1 species
UGGGGAAUAUUGCACAAUGGGCGCAAGCCUGAUGCAGCAACGCCGCGUGAACGAUGAAGGUCUUCGGAUCGUAAAGUUCUGUUGCAGGGGAAGAUAAUGACGGUACCCUGUGAGGAAGCCCCGGCUAACUACGUGCCAGCAGCCGCGGUAAUACGUAGGGGGCUAGCGUUAUCCGGAUUUACUGGGCGUAAAGGGUGCGUAGGUGGUCUUUCAAGUCGGUGGUUAAAGGCUACGGCUCAACCGUAGUUAGCCUCCGAAACUGGAAGACUUGAGUGCAGGAGAGGAAAGUGGAAUUCCCAGUGUAGCGGUGAAAUGCGUAGAUAUUGGGAGGAACACCAGUAGCGAAGGCGGCUUUCUGGGCUGCAACUGACACUGAGGCACGAAAGCGUGGGUAGCAAACAGG